rnacentral:rRNA from 1 species
UACAGAGGGUGCGAGCGUUAAUCGGAAUUACUGGGCGUAAAGCGCACGUAGUCGGCUUUGCAAGUCGGUUGUGAAAUCCCCGGGCUCAACCUGGGAACUGCAUCCGAGACUGCAUUGCUAGAGUAUGGGAGAGGAAAGCGGAAUUUCUGGUGUAGCAGUGAAAUGCGUAGAUAUCCGGAGGAACACCGGUGGCGAAGGCGGCUUCCUGGACCGACACUGACGCUGAGGCGCGAAAGCUAGGGGAGCAAACGGG